UUUUUUUUUACAUUUUGGGCUGUCAUUGGUAGGCACUAGUAUACAAAAAAAUUUAAAAAAAAAAUUUGGUGGUGGCCUGCCAAUGGCUGGCACCAUCUUUAUGGGAAAAAAAAAUUUCGAGUGCCAUCAAAAUGAGAGUGUCUUGUAGUAUAUCAUCAAAUAAGUUUUUUUGGAGUGGAUUGUAUAUGGAGUUUUUUGUAGUGUACAAUCAAAUUUCGGGGUUGAAUUAUAUACUGUCAAGUCCACCCUAAAGGUUAUGCUAUUAAGGGUUGGAUGAUUCUUUACACCAUAGAUGGCUAAUCGAGUUGUCCAAUAUGCAGAUGGACAUUAUCUAUGGUGCAAUAGUGUUUAUUCUGCAACUAGGUUCUAAUUGGAAUCGGUUGAUAGAAUCUCCAUGCAAAGGUAUCUCAUGGGACCUCAUAGGACAAUGGAGGAAGAAAAGGUCUAGAGCAGAAGACGAUUAAUUGUGAAGAAACUAGUGCCGGUGCCACGUAGACCUGAUUCAAGCAGAAGACGAUUAAUUGUGAAGAAACUAGUAUUGAAAAUAAUUGUAUUAUUUCUUAAGAAUGUUAUAUUUAUCGUUUUAAAAAUAAUUUAAAAGAAUAUUUAAUAUUAAUUAGGACAUUUUAUUUCUCGGUUACCUUGUACACAAUGCUUGCAAUGUGGUCGUUGUCAUUUAAAAGAACAUUUGGAUUAGGAUCCACGGAGUGAUCGGCGGUCGUCGGCGAUGGUUAAGCAUGAACAGCGGCGGUCGUCGACAGUGGUUGAGGGUGGCGGUGGACGGAAUGGCCUAUUUAUAGUGGGGGACCAUUUUAAAAGGAGGCAAAAUUGGAAAAAAAAUUUAAUACUUCUGACACACUUUUAUUUUUCAGUCAAUUUGGUUUAUUUCAUUUAAUUUUAAUCAUUCAAUUUUAUGACACACUUUUUUUUUCUACCAAUCUGAUUUAUUUCAUUCAAUCUGACACACUUUGUUUUUUUUUCAUUCAAUUUUAAGCAUGCCAACAUCUGACACACUUUUUUUAUCAUUCAUUUCAAUUUUUUAUUUCUACAUCUAACACCCCUUUUUUUCAUUCAAUCUCAUUUAUUUCAAUUUUAUUUUUCUAUAUCUAACACCCUUUUUUUCAUUCAAUCUCAUUUAUUUCAGUUUUAUUUUUCUACAUCUAACACCCUUUUUUUCAUUCAAUGUCAUUUAUUUUAACUUCUUGAAUUUUUUUUUACAUAAAGGUGGUGUCGACCAUUGCCAAGCCACCACCAAAAUUUUUUUUUUGAAUUUUUUCAUAUACUGUUGCCGGCAAAUUACAGCCAAAAUGUAAAAAAAAAUUUACAUAAAGGUGGUGUCGGCCAUUGCCAGGCCACCACAAAAAAAUUGUUUUUUUAUUUUUUCGUAUACUGGUGCCGGCCUAUGAUAGCCAAAAUGUAAAAAAAAAAUGGUGGUGGCCUGGUAAUGGCCGACACCACGUUUAUGUAAUUUUUUUUUUUACACUUUGGGCUGUCAUUGGCAGGCACUAGUAUACAAAAAAAUAAAUAAAAAUUUUGUUGGUGGCCUGCCAAUGGCUGGCACCAACUUUAUGGGAAAAAAAAAUUUCGGGUGCAAUCAAAAUGAGAGUGUUUUGUAGUAUAUCAUCAAAUAAGUUUUUUUGGAAUGGAUUGUAUAUGGAGUUUUUUGUAGUGUACAAUCAAAUUUCGGGGUUCAAUUAUAUACUGUCAUAUUUUAUUUGAGUUGAAUUAUAUACUGUCAAGUCCACCCUAAAGGUUAUGCUAUUAAGGGUUGGAUGAUUCUUUGCACCAUAGAUGGCUAAUCGAGUUGUACAAUAUGCAGAUGGACAUUAUCUAUGGUGCAAUAGUGUUUAUGCUACAACUAGGUUCUGAUUGGAAUCGGUUGAUAGAGUCUCCAUGCAAAGGUAUCUCAUGGGACCUCAUGGGACAAUGGAGGAAGAAAAGGUCUAGAGCAGAAGACGAUUAACUGUGAAGAAACUAGUACCGAUGCCAUGUAGACCUGAUUCAAGCAGAAGACGAUUAAUUGUGAAGAAACUAGUAUUGAAAAUAAUUGUAUUAUUUCUUAAGAAUGUUAUAUUUAUCGUUUUAAAAAUUAUUUAAAAGAAUAUUUAAUAUUAAAUAGGACAUUUUAUUUCUCGGUUACCUUGUACACAAUGCUUGCAAUGUGGUCGUUGUCAUUUAAAAGAACAUUUGGAUUAGGAUCCAUGGAGUGAUCGGCGGUCAUUGGCGAUGGUUAAGCAUGAACAGCGGCGGUCGUCGACAGUGGUUGAGGGUGGCGGUGGACGGAAUGGCCUAUUUAUAGUGGGGGACCAUUUUAAAAGGAGGCAAAAUUGGAAAAAAGAAUUUAAUACUUCUGACACACUUUUAUUUUUCAUUCAAUUUGGUUUAUUUCAUUUAAUUUUAAUCAUUCAAUUUUAUGACACACUUUUUUUUUCUACCAAUCUGAUUUAUUUCAUUCAAUCUGACACACUUUGUUUUUUUUCAUUCAAUUUUAAGCAUGCCAACAUCUGACACACUUUUUUUAUCAUUCAUUUCAAUUUUUUAUUUCUACAUCUAACACGCUUUUUUUCAUUCAAUCUCAUUUAUUUCAAUUUUAUUUUUCUAUAUAUAACACCCUUUUUUUCUUUCAAUCUCAUUUAUUUAAGUAUUAUUUUUCUACAUCUAACACCCUUUUUUUUCAUUCAAUGUCAUUUAUUUUAACUUCUUAAAAUUUUUUUUACAUAAAGGUGGUGUCGGCCAUUGCCAAGCCACCACCAAAAAAAAUAUUUGAAUUUUUUCGUAUACUGUUGCCAGCAAAUGACAGCCAAAAUGUAAAAAAAAAAUUUACAUAAAGGUGAUGCCGGCCAUUGCCAGGCCACCACCAAAAAAAAAUUGUUUUUGAAUUUUUUCGUAUACUGGUGCCGGCCUAUGACAAAAAAAAUGUAAAAAAAAAUUGGUGGUGGCCUGGUAAUGGCCAACACCACCUUUAUGUAAUUUUUUUUUUACAUUUUGGGCUGUCAUUGGCAGGCACUAGUAUACAAAAAAAUAAAAAAAAUUUUGUUGGUGGCUUGCCAAUGGCUGGCACCAACUUUAUGGGAAAAAAAAAUUUCGGGUGCCAUCAAAAUGAGAGUGUUUUGUAGUAUAUCAUCAAAUAAGUUUUUUUGGAGUGGAUUGUAUAUGGAGUUUUUUGUAGUGUACAAUCAAAUUUCGGGGUUGAAUUAUAUACUGUCAUAUUUUAUUGGAGUUGAAUUAUAUACUGUCAAGUCCACCCUAAAGGUUAUGCUAUUAAGGGUUGGAUGAUUCUUUGCACCAUAGAUGGCUAAUCGAGUUGUCCAAUAUGUAGAUGGACAUUAUCUAUGGUGCAAUAGUGUUUAUUCUGCAACUAGGUUCUGAUUGGAAUCGGUUGAUAGAGUCUCCAUGCAAAGGUAUCUCAUGGGACCUCAUGGGACAAUGGAGGAAGAAAAGGUCUAGAGCGGAAGACGAUUAAUUGUGAAGAAACUUGUACCGAUGCCACGUAGACCUGAUUCAAGCAGAAGACGAUUAAUUGUGAAGAAACUAGUAUUGAAAAUAAUUGUAUUAUUUCUUAAGAAUGUUAUAUUUAUCGUUUUAAAAAUUAUUUAAAAUAAUGUUAUAUUUCUCGGUUACCUUGUGCACAAUGCUUGCAAUGUGGUUGUUGUCAUUUAAAAGAACAUUCGGAUUAGGAUCCAUGGAGUCAUCGGCGGUCAUCGGCGAUGGUUAAGCGUGAAUAGCGGCGGUCGUCAGUAGUGGUUGACGGUGGCGGUGGACGGAAUGGCCUGUUUAUAGUGGGGGACCAUUUGAAAGGGGGGCAAAAUUGAAAAAAAAAUUUAAUACUUCUGACACAUUUUUUUUUUCUUUCAAUCUGAUUUAUUUCAUUUAAUUUUAAGCAUUCAAUUUUAUGACACUUUUUUUUUCUACCAAUCUGAUUUAUUUCAUUUAAUCUGACACACUUUUUUUUUCAUUCAAUUUUAAGCAUGCCAACAUCUGAAACACUUUUUUUUUCAUUCAUUUCAAUUUUUUUCUACAUCUAA
rnacentral:lncRNA from 1 species